UGGUGGAAGGCGGAAGGGUAUGAUAAUGUGAAUGUUUGUCGCAGUUUCUCACACAUUCAGUUUGCGGUGAGUAUUUUCCCCAGUUAACAGGUGUAGAAGUUCUUAACUUUGCCCCGCUAGGUCCACUUUCGUGCAGUUUUUAGCUCCAACCCUGAUCAAACUGUUACUUUUGCCACUGGCUUCAAAAUAUAAACCUCAUUGAUGCAAAAUAAAGUUUCAGAGGUACACAUGAAAAUGUAUAAAUGUUCAUUUUGUGAUGUUGUGAAGUUUCAACUCACGAAGUAUCUCAUCUCACCUGCAAGUGCAACAUUAACAUUAACACCAAGCAGAUUUAAGUGUUACCUGUAACAUUGAGAGAUAUUUUAUAUCACAGAAUGUAUUAUUCUAGGUAAAUAUAUUGUACUUCUGUGGUAUGUCUCUCUCUUAUUUAUCAAUUAUUUCUUCUUUGGAAUAUGAACUUUUUUUAUUAUUAUUAUUUCUUACAGAGCAGCAUACUGAUGGGGAGACUCUGCUGGGUCUCAGAAAGGAUGGUGGAAAGACUUUUCCUCCUGGAAACUGACGAGCCUCAGAUAUCUUGUACUCAACAAGAACCCUGUGACUCAUUUGUUGCCCAUCCUUGGCCAGCAGUAUACAACCUGCCUGUCUUUCCCCCUGAAUUGCAAAAUUGUUGUUUGACAGCAUCACCAAGCACACCUGGUACAGUAUUGUAUUUCAUUGUAUUUUAUAAUAGUUAAAUGUCAAACGUGUUGGUUGUUGGGUACUGAAAUAAUUAUAUUUUAUAUUUUUUAGGUACCCAAAUCAUAAAAUGUAUGAAGAUGUUCUGGGUUGUUUGAUCACGCGCUUUCCAUUUUUGAAGGAUGACAGCUCCUCUGGUUAUGAUACCUUGUUGGAAUGCCUUAGAAACAAAUUUUAAAAAGAAAGGAUUCCCUUGGUUAGCUCAUCAAUCGUCCUGCA